rnacentral:rRNA from 1 species
CGGGUGAGUAACACGUGAGCAACCUACCUUUCAUGGGGGACAACAUUUGGAAACGAAUGCUAAUACCGCAUAAGACCACAGUGUCGCAUGGCACAGGGGUCAAAGGAUUUAUCCGCUGAAAGAUGGGCUCGCGUCCGAUUAGCUAGAUGGUGAGGUAACGGCCCACCAUGGCGACGAUCGGUAGCCGGACUGAGAGGUUGAACGGCCACAUUGGGACUGAGACACGGCCCAGACUCCUACGGGAGGCAGCAUG